AUUGAACGCUGGCGGAAUGCUUUACACAUGCAAGUCGAACGGUAGAGGGGGCAACCCCUCGAGAGUGGCGAACGGGUGAGUAAUAUAUCGGAACGUGCCCAGUCGUGGGGGAUAACGUAGCGAAAGUUACGCUAAUACCGCAUACGAUCUAAGGAUGAAAGCGGGGGAUCGCAAGACCUCGCGCGAUUGGAGCGGCCGAUAUCAGAUUAGGAAGUUGGUGGGGUAAAGGCUCACCAAGCCAACGAUCUGUAGCUGGUCUGAGAGGACGACCAGCCACACUGGAACUGAGACACGGUCCAGACUGCUACGGGAGGCAGCAGUGGGGAAUUUUGGACAAUGGACGCAAGUCUGAUCCAGCCAUUCCGCGUGCAGGAUGAAGGCCCUCGGGUUGUAAACUGCUUUUGUACGGAACGAAAAGGUCUCUCUUAAUACGGGGGACUCAUGACGGUACCGUAAGAAUAAGCACCGGCUAACUACGUGCCAGCCGCCGCCGUAA
rnacentral:rRNA from 1 species